AGUUAUAUGCUUGUCUCAAAGAUUAAGCCAUGCAUGUCUAAGUACAAGCGAAAAUAAAGUGAAACCGCAAAAGGCUCAUUAUAUCAGUUAUGGUUUCUUAGAUCGUAUCCACAAUUACUUGGAUAACUGUGGUAAUUCUAGAGCUAAUACAUGCAAUUAAAGAGAAACCAGUAAAAUGGGAUCUCUGCUUUUAUUAGAUUUAAACCAAUGGGGAUUGCUUCGCGGCUAUCUCAAUAAAAAUGGUUGAACUCUGGAUAAUUUGUUGAUCGCAUGGUCUCGUACCGGCGACGGAUCUUUCAAAUGUCUGCCCUAUCAACUAUUGAAGGUAGUGUCUUGGACUACCUUGGUUGCUACGGGUAACGGGGGAUCAGGGUUCGAUUCCGGAGAGGGAGCCUGAGAAACAGCUACCACAUCUAAGGAAGGCAGCAGGCGCGUAAAUUACCCACUCCCGGCACGGGGAGGUAGUGACGAAAAAUAACAAUACAAGACUCACAUCCGAGGCCUUGUAAUUGGAAUGAGUACACUUUAAAUCCUUUAACAAGGAUCAAUUAGAGGGCAAGUCUGGUGCCAGCAGCCGCGGUAAUUCCAGCUCUAAUAGCGUAUAUUAAAGUUGUUGCGGUUAAAACGUUCGUAGUUGAACUUGUGUUCAGUACGGGCACUACCUAGCCCUAGGUAACUAGGACGGUAGUUGUCUUAUCUUUUCAUUUUCUUCAUCGGAUUAUGAAAAAAGUGCGUGAACGUAUUAUCGGCGUGUUCUAUUUUCAUAAUAAUUAAAAAAUAUGAAAAUGUUCACAUAAGCCCAUUUCAGUGCUCUUUACCGAGUGUUGCUGUGGGCCGAUACAAAUUACUUUGAACAAAUUAGAGUGCUUAAAGCAGGCUUGUAAUGCCUGAAUAUUUUGUGCAUGGAAUAAUGAAAUAGGACAUCUGUUCUACUUUCAUUGGUUUUUUAGACCAAGAUGUAAUGAUUAAUGGAAGCAGUUGGGGGCAUUAGUAUUACAACGCGAGAGGUGAAAUUCUUAGACCGUUGUAAGACUGACUAAAGCGAAAGCAUUUGCCAAAGAUGUUUUCAUUUAAUCAAGAACGAAAGUUAGAGGUUCGAAGGCGAUC
rnacentral:rRNA from 1 species